GGAGGCGUCGCAUAGUGGUCUAGUGCGCGGCCCUGGAAAGGCCGUAUGUCCGCAAGGGCAUCGAGAGUUCGAAUCUCUCCGCCUCCG
rnacentral:tRNA from 1 species